rnacentral:rRNA from 1 species
GAUGAACGCUGGCGGCGUGCCUAAUACAUGCAAGUCGAGCGAACGGACCAGAAGCUUGCUUCUCUGAUGUUAGCGGCGGACGGGUGAGUAACACGUGGAUAACCCACCUAUAAGACUGGGAUAACUUCGGGAAACCGUAGCUAAUACCGGAUAAUAUUUUGAACCGCAUGGUUCAAAAGUGAAAGACGGUCUUGCUGUCACUUAUAGAUGGAUCCGCGCUGCAUUAGCUAGUUGGUAAGGUAACGGCUUACCAAGGCAACGAUGCAUAGCCGACCUGAGAGGGUGGUCGGCCACACGGGAACUGAGACAGGGACCAGACUCCUACGGGAGGCAGCAGUAUGCAAUCUUCCGCAGUGGUCGAAAGCCUUACGGAGCAACGCCGCGUGAGUGAUGAAGGUCUUCGGAUCGUAAAACUCUGUUAUUAGGGAAGAACAGAUGUGUAAGUAACUGUGCACAUCUUGACGGUACCUAAUCAGAAAGCCACGGCUAACUACGUG